ensembl:lncRNA
UAUAAAUCUCAACAGUUCAAAUACACGUAACGACAGUCCUCCAAAUAUCUGUGAAACUGUCAGUGUGUCGGCUGUGACGCUGGAGCAGCAGAGAGGAGCUCGUCCUUACGCAGAUUCAUCCUCUGGGGACCAUGAAGGCGUGGAUGGAAGGACAUUCCUACUCAGUUCACAGAUGGCAUCUAUCCAACAAAGAGCGAUUUAAGCUGAACAUCGGCACGUUCUUCACUCCAGCACAGCAUCUGUGUGAGAGGGAACAGCCACAUCAGACUAGCUGGGCUGUACCUGUGCAGUAGGUGUGUUUGAUCCCGUCA